CCCCCCAUGAUCUGCGCGGGUUUUUCCCCGAGAUCAUCGGUUUCCUCCCACACUCCAAAGACGCAUAGGUUUGUAGGUUAAUUGGCUCUGUUAAUUGGCUUG